rfam:Schistosoma mansoni strain Puerto Rico chromosome 1, complete genome
AUCCAGCUGACGAGUCCCAGGUUGGACGAAACGCACGUCCUGGAU